rnacentral:rRNA from 1 species
AGCAGCCGCGGUAAUUCCAGCUCCAAUAGCGUAUAUUAAAGUUGUUGCAGUUAAAAAGCUCGUAGUUGAAUUUCAGGCCUGGCUGGACGGUCCGCCCUUCGGGUGAGUACUGUCUGUGGUCGGGUCCUACCUUCUGGCGAAGCGUCAUGGCCUUAACCGGCCGUGGCGGGGAACCAGGACUUUUACUGUGAAAAAAUUAGAGUGUUCAAAGCAGGCAAUCGCUUGGAUACGUUAGCAUGGAAUAAUGGAAUAGGACAAUGGUUCUAUCUGUUGGUUUCUAGGACCGUUGUAAUGAUUAAUAGGGAUAGUUGGGGGCAUUAGUAUUCAAUUGUCAGAGGUGAAAUUCUUGGAUUUAUUGAAGACUAACUACUGCGAAAGCAUUUGCCAAGGAUGUUUCUAUUAAUCAAGAACGAAAGUUAGGGGAGUCGAAGACGAUACAGAUACCGUCGUAGUCUUAACCAUAAACAUUGCCGACUAGGGAUCGGGCGUAUGUUGUUUCUAAUGACUCGCUCGGUCACCU